rnacentral:ncRNA from 1 species
AUUUGUGUGUUGAAGGGUAAAAGUAGAAGACACUUUUGUAAAAAGUAGAGAACUGAUGGUCGGUGAAAAUCAGUACAAGGUGUGUUUGAAGUACGGACCUGGAGCAUUUCUUGUGAGUAGCAAGAAACGGUUACGCCGUUAUCGAAUCGAGUGGAAGUCUUUUUCGAAAGGCUUCAAUUAGGGUGGUAACGCGAUAACCUCGUCCCUUUG